rnacentral:rRNA from 1 species
AUGCCUGUGAUGACGACGAUAACUCGCGCUCUCCUGCUCGUCGGCGUCGCCCUGACGGCGCAACUGUGCGCUUGCACGGCGUACGGCGGCGAUGGGUUUAGUGUGGAGUUCAUCCACCGUGACUCCGUCGGGUCGCCGUUCCACGACCCCUCGCUCACCGCUCAUGGCCGCGUGGUUAAGGCCCUCGCGCGGUCCUACGCCCACGCCGACGCACCGUCGGCCCACGGCGUCGUGUCCGAACUCACCUCCACUCCGUUCGAGUACCUGAUGGCCUUGAACGUGGGCACGCCGCCCACCCGUCUGCUCGCCAUCGCCGACACCGGCAGCGACCUCGUCUGGCUGAAUUGCAGCAGGAAGGGGCCCCACGGUCUUGGCCCGGCGUUCGCCGGUGACGCGCCCUCGCCCACACCCCCGCCGGGCGUCGUGUUCGACCCCUCCAAGUCCAAGACGUACAGCCCCGUGGGCUGCGACUCCGGCGCGUGCCGCGAGCUCCAUGAAACCGUCUGCGUCGACUCCAAGUGCGCCUACUUCUACGGCUAUGGCGGGGGCUCCACCACGAGCGGCCUCCUCUCCACCGAGACCUUCACCUUCGCGGACGAUGCCCCAGCUGGCAGCCGCGGCGACCGGACGACGCGCGUGCCCGACGUCAACUUCGGCUGCGGCACGACCUUUGUCGGCUCCUUCAUCGGGGACGGCCUCGUCGGCCUCGGCAACACAAACCUCUCCCUCGUCGCGCAGCUCGGCGCGCACGCCUCGCUCGGCCGGAGGUUCUCCUACUGCCUCCUGCCCUACUCCGUCAACGGCUCCUCCCUGCUCAACUUCGGCGCCCGCGCCACCGUGACGGAGCCGGGCGCGGCCACGACGCCGCUGAUCCCGUCCAGGGUGAAGUCGUACUACACCAUCGGCCUCCUGUCCGUCAAGGUGGGCAACGCGACCUACGCGGCGCCGCAGCAGUCCCCCGCCGUCGUUGACUCCGGCACAACGCUGACGUUCCUCAACAAGGCGCUGCUAGACCCACUGAAGGACACCUUGUGCUUGGCCAUUGCGCCGUCGGCUCGGUCGUCAUUGAUCGGGAACAUCGCACAGCAGAACAUGCACGUAGGGUACGACCUCGACAAGGGCACCGUCACCUUCGCGGCAGCCGACUGCGCGAGAUCCUACUCCGCCCACCCACCCUCCCCGGCCCACUCUCACGCCCCAGCCACCUCCGGCUCUGCGUAG